rfam:Veillonella sp. CAG:933 genomic scaffold, scf179
GGAUCUUUAGCUCAGUGGUAGAGCACUCGGCUCAUAACCGAAUGGUCGUAGGUCCGAAUCCUACAGGAUCCA